rnacentral:rRNA from 1 species
AGAGUUUGAUCCUGGCUCAGGACGAACGCUGGCGGCGUGCUUAACACAUGCAAGUCGUGGGCGGUCGCAAGACCGACCGGCAAACGGGUGCGUAACACGUAAGCGACCUACCGAUUCGCGGGGGAUAGCCGGCCCAACGGCCGGGUAAUACCGCAUACGCCGAACGGGCUUCAUGGCCUGUCCGGGAAACCUCCGGGGCGGAUCGAGGGGCUUGCGGCCUAUCAGCUAGUUGGCGGGGUAAUGGCCCACCAAGGCUACGACGGGUAGCUGGUCUGAGAGGAUGGCCAGCCACAUUGGGACUGAGAAACGGCCCAGACUCCUACGGGAGGCAGCAGUGGGGAAUAUUGCGCAAUGGCCGAAAGGCUGACGCAGCGACGCCGCGUGUGGGAUGACGCCCUUCGGGGUGUAAACCACUGUUGCCCGGGACGAACGGGCGGAUUUAUCCGCCGUGACGGUACCGGGUGAGGAAGCACCGGCUAACUCCGUGCCAGCAGCCGCGGUAAUACGGAGGGUGCGAGCGUUGUCCGGAAUCACUGGGCGUAAAGGGCGCGUAGGCGGCUUGGUAAGGGGGCGGUGAAAGCCCGGGGCUCAACCCCGGGUCUGCCGGACCGACUGCCGAGCUGGAGCACACUAGAGGCGGGUGGAAUUCCGGGUGUAGCGGUGGAAUGCGUAGAGAUCCGGAGGAACACCGGUGGCGAAGGCGGCCCGCUGGGGUGUGGCUGACGCUGAGGCGCGACAGCGUGGGGAGCAAACAGGAUUAGAUACCCUGGUAGUCCACGCCGUAAACGAUGGGCACUAGGUGCUUGGGGGGAGCGACCCCCCUGAGUGCCGUCGCUAACGCAUUAAGUGCCCCGCCUGGGGGAGUACGGCCGCAAGGCUGAAACUCAAAGGAAUUGACGG